AGUGUUACCGAAACUAACGUUGCUGCCAAAAAGAAAAAAUAAAGAACGAAGGACACGAACUAGAAUCGAAAUAAUAAUCCUGGCCGUGAAAGUUGACGUCAGAGAUAGUAUUACUCAAUGAAUGCAGUCAAUGGAAAACUAUGCAAUCAUUUAUCGGCCGACAAGUGAGACGGAUUGUUCGACGAACGAUCCGUUACUUAUGAUUUAAUUCGGAGAAGCGAUAUGUAGGGUAGAACGUUUGCGUGAUCGAUAUGGAACAGAUACUCUAUGGUGACGAGAAUACUUUAAACAUAGGAUCUCAAACGAUAUUUCUCGUAUCUAUUCGUUCUUUCAAAGAAGUAUGAUCGCUAAUAUCAUCGAAUAGAAUCAAUUUGCAAAGUCAUGGGCAAUACGGAGAGCAACGUAGCUAGCGGAGUGAAGAAACAGACGGAUGCUUCGUCUAUCUUACUUUACAAAUUGGUCGAUUUAAAAGGUGGUGGUUUAUUAGUGGACAUGAUGAAAAGAGCAACGCAAACUAAACAGUACGCUGAACUAGAUCACGCUCUAAGAACAAAAGUGGAGCCGUAUUUAUACAAUAAGGGUAAAGGUAAAUGGAUCCCGAUUGAAAAGUUGGUGUUGCUACGAAACAAGGAUCGUCCGAAGCAUAAAAUGCUUCCACCAUUAAGGGCUAUGGAAAAUCCGGCCGAUUACGAUAUAGACAAAGAUAUGGGCGACGAAGAAGCGGACGAAACGAAAAUAGAUAAGAGCAAGUACAGAUUGGUCUGCUGGAGCUUGAGCGAAAGAGGAGCAGUCGGGGAGACGAUUUUUCAUUUAUGUAUGUUACACUCGACUACUAUUCAUAUCGACCUGGCUAAACGUUUACUACGUUUUUAUCCUAAGCUGAUCAACGACAUUUACAUCAGCGACGAGUAUUACGGCGAAAACGCGUUGCACAUCGCUAUAGUGAACGAAGAUCCAGCCUUGGUAAAGUUCCUCCUCGACAGCGGUGCGGACGUCCACGAAAGAUGCAUAGGAAAUUUUAUGUCCCCGGAAGAUCAACAAGCAUCGAGAUCGGACAGCCUCGAUCACGAAUGGGUUUGCGUAGCUCCCGAAACGAAUUACAACGGGUACGUUUACUGGGGCGAAUAUCCUUUGAGCUUCGCAGCGUGUUUAGGGCAAGAAGAAUGUUACAGACUGAUACUUGCCAGAGGGGCAGAUCCCGACAAACAAGACACCAAUGGAAAUACGGUUCUACAUAUGUUGGUGAUCUACGAAAAGUUGACCACUUUCGACAUGGCGUACGAGGUAGGAGCGUCGUUAGCGAUUAGAAACACCCAACAUUUAACACCGUUGACGCUGUCGGCGAAACUGGCAAGGAUCGAAAUGUUUUUCCACAUCUUAAACAUCGAGAGGGAAAUUUAUUGGCAAAUUGGCAGCAUCACAUGCGCGGCUUAUCCCCUCUCGCAAGUAGACACCAUCGACGUUAACACCGGCAGCAUCAGUCACAACUCUGCUUUAAAUUUGGUGGUAUUCGGCGAAAAGGACGAACAUUUGGAACUGAUGGACGGUAUCCUGGUUGAUCUGUUAAACGCCAAAUGGAACACUUUCGUCAAGUCUCGAUUUUAUCGUCAAUUUUUCCUCUUUUGUUUUUACUUCAUCUUAUCCUUGAUCAGCUUCACGCUUCGUCCUGGUCCAUCGGCUACGCCAUCGAGUUCUACGAUUACUCAAACUCCUCUCACAACCGUCGAAUCAUCUACUACACCGCACUCGUCUGAUCUUCUUUCGAAUUUGAUUCCAAUGACGGAUCGGAAAAUGUUUCACAAUUCGAGUCCCUCGGUGUUUGUUAACGAAAUCGUGGAAAAUGCUUUAAUUUCUAAUUUGAAGUUCUCUUUGAAUGUAACAGCGUCUCGCUUGGACCAGCUAAAACUCGAUCUCGUAACCCACAUAAUGUCUAGUCUAAAAAAUCUUUUGACUAUUAUCGAGAACGAGACUGAAAGCCAACCAUUUAACGACUUUAGUCGGCAAUCAGCUGUGUUUACCGAUCAUUUGCACCACGAAAAUGACACUAAUACGAGUACUUUCGUUACCGUUGAUUCCACAACCAAACUGUUAUUGGAUGAUGCUGUACUGCUCGAUAACAAUAAGAGCAAUUGGUGGGACCAUCUUACCAAAGAAUGCAGACUGAUGCAACUGACCACAGUAUCUGCGAAUAUUCGAUUAAUCGCAGAAAUAUUCAUGGAAAUUGCGGCUAUUCUCUACAUUAUUGCAGCGCUACGAGAAGCCAGGUUUUUAGGUCUCAACAUGUUCAUCGAAAAUCUAAUGACUGCACCAUCGAGGGUAAUGUUUCUCUUCUCCUGCUGCAUAUUGUUGUCAUUUCCAUUUUUGCGAUUAUCCUGUGCCGACGAAAUGGAAGAUAUGCUAGCAGUAGUGGUAAUGUUAACCACAGCACCGUAUUUUUUAUUUUUCUGCAGAGGAUUUAAAACUGUCGGUCCUUUCGUUGUCAUGAUCUACAGAAUGAUCACGGGCGAUCUACUUCGAUUCGUAUCCAUCUAUUUGGUGUUCGUAAUUGGAUUCUCUCAAGCAUAUUACAUUAUAUUUUUAUCUUUCGACAAUCCUAAUACACCAGAAGGUGUGGACGAUUCGAUAAGCAAUCCAAUGCCAUCGCCUAUAGAGAGCAUCAUGGCAAUGUUCCUUAUGAGUAUGACGAACUUUGGGGAUUACUAUGGUGCGUUUGAGAGGACUCAACACGAAAUGGAAGCCAAGUUCAUGUUUGUUGUCUACAUGGCAAUCGUUGCUAUCUUACUUGUGAACAUGUUAAUCGCUAUGAUGGGGAAUACGUAUCAAAAAAUUGCAGAAACUAGGAACGAGUGGCAGAGACAAGUAUUUCAUUCAUCUCUACCUUUCUUACUUCCUUUUGCUAAAAACUUUAUUAUAAUCAUAUUUUGAUUAGAAUCGAUAAUUCCAGUGGGCGCGUAUAGUUUUGGUAGUAGAAAGAGGAGUAAGUCCACAAGAAAGACUUAAAAAGUUGAUGGAUUAUUCUCAACCAAUGUCCGAGGGUCGUAGAGCGUUGGUUCUUCGAUUGAAUCAAUCGGAAGAAGAUAAGGAAGACAUGAAAGAAAUUUUGGAAAUGAAGAGGACCCAUGACAAAUUGUGCAAGAAAAGGCAGCUAAAAUCCGCAAAGGAGAAAACUGUAACAAGAGAGGAUAAUAUUAUUGUAUAAUGUUAUUUUUAUUUUAUAA